rnacentral:tRNA from 1 species
GAGGGUGUAGCUCAGUGGAAGAGCACUUGCCUAUCAUGAGUGAAGCCUGGGUUCAAUCCUCAGUACCAUUA